AGAUAAGAGCUUGAGGUAAGCAGUUUUAUGUUUAAGUGCCAUGUCACGUUGAUUUCAUGUCACAUUUUUAUUAAACAUGGAUCGUACCAGCAAACACACUGUGCCAUGCAUCUGUGUGAUUUAGCCAAAGGAUUAGUUUACUCACAAAUGAAAAUUCUGUGAAGUGAAAAUGCAAAUCAUUUAGUCACCUUCAUGUCAUUGUAAAAUCAUUUGAAAGAAGAGAUCUUCAGCUGUAGGCUACUGGUCCUGGUCCCUCAUUUCCAUGCAGUUAUAUCAAACUCUAGUCAUCCAUUGGUGAGACAAGCAGACCGUCCCGCUGUAAACUUCUGCCAUUGCUUGAGUCGAUGUUGUUGUGUUGAUCUGGUCAGGACUGCAAACUAAUGCAGACUCAAACUUGUGGAAGCAAAUAACAUACAGUCGUCUCUGCAUGAACUGAUAUAGAAGAAAGUAUUUUAUAAAAUCACCUUUACCAUAUACUGAUGAAACAUUAAAAAGUGAGGAAGAAGAGAACGUCAUGACUGACCUUUAAGACGCUGGUACUGUAAUAUCUCUAAUAUCAAUAGGGAGUCUCUUGCUUUAACUACGGGUCACAGGAGUGGACCUCGCUCUGUGAUCCUUCGCUUCCACGUUGCAAA
ensembl:lncRNA